rnacentral:rRNA from 1 species
AUUGAACGCUGGCGGCAGGCCUAACACAUGCAAGUCGAGCGGAUGAAGGGAGCUUGCUCCUGGAUUCAGUGGCGGACGGGUGAGUAAUGCCUAGGAAUCUGCCUGGUAGUGGGGGAUAACGUCCGGAAACGGGCGCUAAUACCGCAUACGUCCUGAGGUAGAAAGUGGGGGAUCUUCGGACCUCACGCUAUCAGAUGAGCCUAGGUCGGAUUAGCUAGUUGGUGGGGUAAAGGCCUACCAAGGCGACGAUCCGUAACUGGUCUGAGAGGAUGAUCAGUCACACUGGAACUGAGACACGGUCCAGACUCCUACGGGAGGCAGCAGUGGGGAAUAUUGGACAAUGGGCGAAAGCCUGAUCCAGCCAUGCCGCGUGUGUGAAGAAGGUCUUCGGAUUGUAAAGCACUUUAAGUUGGGAGGAAGGGCAGUAAGUUAAUACCUUGCUGUUUUGACGUUACCAACAGAAUAAGCACCGGCUAACUUCGUG